rnacentral:rRNA from 1 species
GGAGGAAAAGAAACUAACAAGGAUUCCCCUAGUAACGGCGAGUGAAGCGGGAAAAGCUCAAAUUUGUAAUCUGAUGCCUUCGGUAUCCGAGUUGUAAUCUCGAGAAGUAUUUUCCGCGCUGGACCGCACAUAAGUCUGUUGGAACACAGCGUCAUAGUGGUGAGAACCCCGUAUAUGGUGCGGAUGCCCAGUGCUUUGUGAUAUACUUUCGAAGAGUCGAGUUGUUUGGGAAUGCAGCUCAAAUUGGGUGGUAAAUUCCAUCUAAAGCUAAAUAUUGGCGAGAGACCGAUAGCGAACAAGUACCGUGAGGGAAAGAUGAAAAGCACUUUGGAAAGAGAGUUAACAGUACGUGAAAUUGUUGGAAGGGAAACGCUUGAAGUCAGACUUGCAUUUUGGAGUUCAGCCGCAAGGUGUAUUCUUCGAUUCGCAGGCCAGCAUCAGUUUUUGGGGGUGGAAAAUCGUGGUUUGAAGGUAGCAGUCUCGGCUGUGUUAUAGCUUUCCACUGGAUUCACUUUUGGGGACUGAGGAACGCAGUACGCUUUUUGCAAGACUUUCGAGUUUUUCGUACUUAGGAUGCUGGUGGAAUGGCUUUAAACGACCCGUCUUGAAACACGGACCAAGGAGUCUAACAUGCUUGCGAGUGUUUGGGUGUUAAACCCGGACGCGUAAUGAAAGUGAAUGUAGGUGGGAUCCGCAAGGUGCACCAUCGACCGAUCUGGAUUUUCUAAGAUGGAUUUGAGUAAGAGCAAUUAUGUUGGGACCCGAAAGAUGGUGAACUAUGCCUGAAUAGGGUGAAGCCAGAGGAAACUCUGGUGGAGGCUCGUAGCGGUUCUGACGUGCAAAUCGAUCGUCAAAUUUGGGUAUAGGGGGCGAAAGACUAAUCGAACCUCUAGUAGCUG